rnacentral:rRNA from 1 species
GUCGAGCGGAUGAAGAGAGCUUGCUCUCUGAUUCAGCGGCGGACGGGUGAGUAAUGCCUAGGAAUCUGCCUGGUAGUGGGGGACAACGUCUCGAAAGGGACGCUAAUACCGCAUACGUCCUACGGGAGAAAGCAGGGGACCUUCGGGCCUUGCGCUAUCAGAUGAGCCUAGGUCGGAUUAGCUAGUUGGUGAGGUAAUGGCUCACCAAGGCGACGAUCCGUAACUGGUCUGAGAGGAUGAUCAGUCACACUGGAACUGAGACACGGUCCAGACUCCUACGGGAGGCAGCAGUGGGGAAUAUUGGACAAUGGGCGAAAGCCUGAUCCAGCCAUGCCGCGUGUGUGAAGAAGGUCUUCGGAUUGUAAAGCACUUUAAGUUGGGAGGAAGGGCAGUAAGCGAAUACCUUGCUGUUUUGACGUUACCGACAGAAUAAGCACCGGCUAACUCUGUGCCAGCAGCCGCGGUAAUACAGAGGGUGCAAGCGUUAAUCGGAAUUACUGGGCGUAAAGCGCGCGUAGGUGGUUUGUUAAGUUGAAUGUGAAAACCCCGGGCUCAACCUGGGAACUGCAUCCAAAACUGGCAAGCUAGAGUAGGGCAGAGGGUGGUGGAAUUUCCUGUGUAGCGGUGAAAUGCGUAGAUAUAGGAAGGAACACCAGUGGCGAAGGCGACCACCUGG